rnacentral:rRNA from 1 species
GAUGAACGCUGGCGGCGUGCCUAAUACAUGCAAGUCGAGCGAAUGGAUUAAGAGCUUGCUCUUAUGAAGUUAGCGGCGGACGGGUGAGUAACACGUGGGUAACCUGCCCAUAAGACUGGGAUAACUCCGGGAAACCGGGGCUAAUACCGGAUAACAUUUUGAACCGCAUGGUUCGAAAUUGAAAGGCGGCUUCGGCUGUCACUUAUGGGUGGUCCCGCGUCGCAUUAGCUAGUUGGUGAGGUAACGGCUCACCAAGGCAACGAUGCGUAGCCGACCGGAGAGGGGGAUCGGCCACACUGGGACUGAGACACGGCCCAGACUCCUACGGGAGGCAGCAGUAGGGAAUCUUCCGCAAUGGACGAAAGUCUGACGGAGCAACGCCGCGUGAGUGAUGAAGGCUUUCGGGUCGUAAAACUCUGUUGUUAGGGAAGAACAAGUGCUAGUUGAAUAAGCUGGCACCUUGACGGUACCUAACCAGAAAGCCACGGCUAACUACGUGCCAGCCGCCGCCGUAA